rnacentral:rRNA from 1 species
GACGAACCGUGCGAACGUUGUUCGGAAUCACUGGGCUUAAAGGGCGCGUAGGCGGGUCAGCAAGUCCGGGGUGAAAUCUUUCAGCUCAACUGGAAAAGUGCCUUGGAUACUGCUGGUCUUGAGGGAGGUAGGGGCGUGCGGAACUUCUGGUGGAGCGGUGAAAUGCGUUGAGAUCAGAAGGAACGCCGGUGGCGAAAGCGGCGCGCUGGACCUCUUCUGACGAUGAGGCGCGAAAGAUAGGGGAGCAAACGGG